CCCAGCACCCGCAAGGGCCAUCUCCCUGUCCGCCUUGACGACGCUCUUGAUGUAGAUCUGGGUGCCCGUCGUCGCAAUGGUGUUGACCAGCCAGUACAGAGCGCAGCCGGAGGGGAGGUUGAGGGCAAACCACCCGAUCAGGUACGGAAAGAAGGCGAGAAGCGUCUCCAUGCUGCCGU
rnacentral:SRP_RNA from 12 species